CAAGUUUAUACUGUAUAUGAUGGUUUUUUGUGUCAGGAUUAUGUCGGUAGGUAAUUGUUUUGUUUAUGCCAGAUGCCCAAGAAACCAGCAGGUGACCCGGAUUCCAUUUUCACAGUCCUCUGUUCAUCAAAAGAGGUCAUAGUCCAAAAUGGCAAUGUAGCUACUCCUUAAUCAGAGCAUCUGGACAAAGCUUAGUGAGCAGCUAGAAAACAAGAUCACUGUAAAGGCUCUAUAUUCUUUUGUUAAAUUGAACAGACACAACAUCUGGACUGCUUUAGGUUUUAUUUAUGAACGUGAUCAUGAAACAAGUGGCAGUAGUGAUGACACUGAUCUUGAGCCGGGGUCCCUUUCCCCCAGACCAAAAGAUUGCUGGACUUUUUUGCAAAAAUGAAACUUUUAUCAGCACAAACCAUUGAGACUGUUUGGGCUGAAUUUGGAGCAUGUGGGUGGGCUGGUGAUGUAAUCGCCUAGAACUUAAUGUCUAAUAUUUAAAAAACGGAAGCAGCACGAACACAACUUUUAUCGGCACAAACGGAGCACGAACGAUUGAGACUAUUUAGGAUGAAUUUGGAGUAUUGGGAGUGGCCUCAGAAUGACCUAUAAAUAUUCUUUUAAUAUCUCCAAAUCCGAAGAAACACAAAUGAGAAUAUUCAACUAUUGAAUAUUUUGCCAACGUUUUGCAUUGGGAGGGGGGGGCAACUUCACACAGGUGCUAAAAAGAGCAUGACGCGGACAACUGUGUGGAGAACGGCUACAGUAUAGCUACGGUGCCCUGGGAGGUGUGGCUAAAUGUGCAAUAUUACAUACAAAUCAUACAAGACUAAAAUAUGGGGGGGGCUGGAAUUGUUUCAGAUAUUGAGGUGUUGACUGUGGCAAAGUUAGAUUUAUUUUAUUUUUGGAUAGUAGCACAUGAACAGUACACCAAACUAUUACACAAAUACAUGAUUUAAGUGUCAUCAAAAAUUUAAGUCUAAAAACCCCAUGAUUCGGAGGUAGAGGAACUUUAUCUGUGCCACUGAAAUGUUAAGGACUGUUGCUGCAAAAAAGUCAAGUGUGAGAAGUUUGACAUCACCAACCACAUAAUUUCAGAAGGGUCUUCUUGACUAGGAGCCAUGCAGUUCAAGCCACUUCAAGUAACUACAGCCCAUGCAGGAAACCUAGCUAAAUAUUGGGUGGAAAGAACUAAAACACAUCCUAUUAAAGCCAGUAGCUCUAAAGUUACAACAAAAAGCGCCGUCCACUGCACAACAUAUUUGUAAUUGAGGUUGGUUUAUGAAUGUAGGUUAGUUUCUCUCAGAGAAGAUCAAAAUCCUGUUGUCAAUUGUUUUAUUUUUUCUUCAAAGUCGGUUUUAAAUGUUGAUAUGCAAAAAUAAAUAAAUAUCUCUCUGUGGCAUGGAGUCCAUAUAAGCUGCGAAUGCUCUGCGUCCCCGAGCCAUUUGAGAGAAUGAGAGCGGUGAUUGGCUAAUUAUUAAUAUUACUAUAAAUUUGUCAUUUGAGGUGUAGCAUCAAGCUUACAUACUAAAAUGUUAACUGUCAAUAAAUUAUGUAUUCGCCAAACGACUAAUUUUCUGCCAUCUGUUUCAGUUAUGGAGGGAUUGAGGCGAGCGGAUCCGCAACAGCUUUUGCGCCAAAGCUCUCUUGCUAUGACUCGUUCUCAUUGUUCUGUGUUCUUGUCGGUUUGUUGGCACACGGGUGAUUUCAUGCGCAGGAGAAGCGGUCACCGAAUCGCUCGUCCAAGUGGAAAAACAACUCGCGGUUGCCAGAUCUCGAUUAGCGAAAAUCACGAAGUAUUUGAAACCUUACUAAUGCUGCUAAAUCAAACGGACAACAGUUGUAAGUCUAUAUUUUCAUGUUUUCUCAAGCAAAACAAGUGUUGAACGUCCACUGAAACAUAUCACCUUAGAUUUUGUUGGUGUAGACAAAGCAUGUUUAAAGUGUCAUGAAACACUAAACUUCAUUUUCUGAGAUUGUGAGGGGGGAAAUUACUCACUUUUACUUUGUGAUAAUUUUGUUCUUGUUCUAUUUCUUUCUCAUCAGGGGAUUACGCCUAAGAAGGCUAUGUCAUGUCACUGAGAUCAGUACAGAAUGUUUAUCUGCUUAGAGACACAAACAUCAUGUUCUGUUCAAGGUUCAUCUGCACAUCUUCUGAGACCCUUAAACAAAGCCUAUUUGAACUGCCUCAAAACACUUCUUAUCGACUGCGCGAGUCUUUUCAGCUUUUCUGGACAGCAUGCAACCCGGAGGCGCUGUGGAGAAGUUUUCACCCUGAAGUCCGUGUUGACACGCAGGCGGUUUGCCCUUUGUUGUGCAGAGCGAAAGACCGAUGCAGUCUUGCCACUGACCGUUAGGAAUCAUCACGAAACAGCCUUAAGGUGCAGACCGCGUCAUACUCCCAGAGAAGUACGCAACUUUGACAACCUACGCUCUCUGAACGUGGCCUCUGCAGAUUAGCUCUCGUUCUCGGACUUUGGAACUGCCAAUCUGCCGUCGACAAGGCAGAUUUCAUUCCUGCCUUUGCAACCCACUCCAACCUCAGUGUGUUGUCUCUGACUGAGACCUGGAUCCAUACUGAACACUGCCACUUCAACUUCUCCCAUACCUCAUGUCCCAACAGGCGAGGGAGUGAUACAGGUCAACUGUGGAAGUUCAUCGAUGAAUUUGACAUGCUACUGUCCACCAUACCGGAUGAUGGAACUCCUCCUGUGGUCCUUGGUGACUUCGACAUUCAUCUAGACAAGCCACAUGAUUUUCUUGCUCACCUUCUCACAUUUGACCUCAAGCAGUUCAUCACACCAGCAACCCACAAAACCGGCAAACAGCUCGACCUCAUCCUCACACAACAACCUCCUGGACACCAAGCAGUCUGGCUUCGAGAGCAAUCGCUCCACGGAGACCGCUCUGCUUUCGGUCACCGAAGCCUUACGACUAGCAAGAGCAACCUCUAGAUCCUACUCGACCUCUCUGCUGCUUUCGACACUGUGAACCGUCCGAUUCUCCUGUCGAUUCUGUCAAGCCCGGGCAUCGCUGGAACGGUUCUGCGCCGGGUGGAAUCCUAUCUCUCGGACAGAUCCUUCAAGGUAUCGUGGAGGGGAGGUAUUUCUGAAACUUGGCAACUCUCAAAGGCGUUCCACAGGGGUCAGUUCUGGGUCCACUGCUCUUUUCUAUCUACACUACAUCUCUAGGGCAGGUGAUUGAGUCUCAUGGCUUUGCAUAUCAUCGAUUAUGCUGACGACACCCAGCUCUAUUUGUCCUUCCAUCUCGGUCUGGAUGAGGGAACAACCUGGCAAAAUCUGAGAUUCUCGUCACCCCAGCCUCUCCCUCAAUCAACCACAACCUCACUGUACAGCUCGGCUCGACCACACUCGAGCCAACCAGGACGGCCAGGAACCUUGGGUGAUUCUCGAUGACGGCUUGACCUUGACGGACCACAUCUCAACAACUGCACGGUCCUGUACAACAUCGAGAAAGUCGGAUCCUACCUCACCAAACAGGCUACGUAGAUACUAGUCCAGGCUCUUGUUAUCUCAAAACUGGACUACUGCAACUCGCUACUCUCGGGCCUCCCGGCCGGCUCCAUCGAACACCUUCAAAAGAUUUCAGGAUGCAGCGGCAUGCCUCGUCUCCAACCAGCUCGAGAGAACCCGUGUCUCGUCUCCCUCCACUGGCUUCCUGUAGCCGCCCGCAUCAAAUUCAAGGCCUUGAUGCUCUCCUACAAGACCUUGUCUGGAUCAGCACCCUCCUACCUCAACUCUCUCUCCUGAAGGCUUGCGUUCCCUCACGCAGUCUGCGAUCGAUCGAUGACCGAUGCUUGGUAGUACCUACACUGCGUGGCUUAAGGUCCCUUUCAAGAACCUUCAAACUAACACUUCCAACCUCAAUCCGGAC
ensembl:lncRNA